rnacentral:rRNA from 1 species
GACGAACGCUGGCGGCGUGCUUAACACAUGCAAGUCGAACGGAGAGGCCCUGCUUUUGUGGGGUGCUCGAGUGGCGAACGGGUGAGUAACACGUGAGUAACCUGCCCUUGACUUUGGGAUAACUUCAGGAAACUGGGGCUAAUACCGGAUAGGAGCUCCUGCUGCAUGGUGGGGGUUGGAAAGUUUCGGCGGUUGGGGAUGGACUCGCGGCUUAUCAGCUUGUUGGUGGGGUAGUGGCUUACCAAGGCCUUGACGGGUAGCCGGCCUGAGAGGGUGACCGGCCACAUUGGGACUGAGAUACGGCCCAGACUCCUACGGGAGGCAGCAGUGGGGAAUAUUGCACAAUGGGCGGAAGCCUGAUGCAGCAACGCCGCGUGCGGGAUGACGGCCUUCGGGUUGUAAACCGCUUUCGCCUGUGACGAAGCGUGAGUGACGGUAAUGGGUAAAGAAGCACCGGCUAACUACGUG